GCUUCGUGCGAAGGGGCGAACCCCGCGGGACGCGGCGUGGAGCUCCCGGCCCCUCCCGUGAAUCCCCGUGGCCGCCCGCGCCGCACCCACUUCCUCUUUCCCUUCCGCGCGCCAGCCAACCGCUCGCCCCAAAAAUUCCUGUCACUUCUGACAGGAAGCGGGGAGGCCUCGCCCGAGAGACCAGCCGAGCAUCUCCGGGGCGCCCCGGGACGGGACGUGGUCAGUCGGCAGCAGCGUCCGGCCUGGCCUUGGGCCUGGACCUGAACCCCGCCGGGUCCUCCACCCCGGUCGGCCCGGUCCUCGGUCCCCGCCUGGGCCCCGGUCGGCCCGGUGCUCCCUCCCUCCCGCCUGGCCCGAUCCUCCCUCUCUUCCUCUCCGCCCGGCGAGGUCCUCCCUCCCUCUCAUUUGGUCCCGUCCUCCCUCCCUUCCUGCCUCCCCUCCCGUCCCGGUUCUCAGCCCCCUCUGAGCCUGAUCCUCAGGCGCGGUGGCGGCCAGGUCCUCAGCCGCCAGCCCGCCAUGGAGGUGGAGGAGGCGUUCCAGGCGGUGGGCGAGAUGGGCCUCUACCAGAUGUACUUGUGCUUCCUGCUGGCCGUGCUGCUGCAGCUCUAUGUGGCCACAGAAGCCAUCCUCAUUGCACUGAUUGGAGCUACACCAUCGUAUCACUGGGACAUGGCCGAGCUCCUGACCAACCAGAGCCACAGCAAUCAGUCGGAUAGCAAAGAACAGGCCUUUGGGGACUGGCUCCUGACCGCCAACGGCAGUGAGAUCCAUAAGCACGUACAUUUCAGCAGCAGCUUCACCUCCAUCGCCUCUGAGUGGUUUUUAAUUGCCAGCCGAUCUUACAAAGUCAGUGCGGCCAGCUCCUUUUUCUUCAGUGGUGUGUUUGUUGGCGUCAUCUCCUUUGGUCAGCUUUCAGAUCGUUUUGGGAGGAAAAAGGUCUAUCUCACAGGUUUUGCUCUUGACAUCUUAUUUGCUAUCGCAAAUGGAUUUUCCCCCUCAUAUGAAUUUUUUGCAGCGACUCGCUUCUUGGUGGGCAUGAUGAAUGGAGGAAUGUCCCUGGUGGCCUUUGUCUUGCUAAAUGAAUGCGUGGGCACCGCCUACUGGGCACUUGCAGGAUCCAUCGGUGGUCUCUUCUUCGCUGUUGGCAUCGCGCAAUAUGCCCUGUUAGGAUACUUCAUUCGCUCCUGGAGGGCCCUAGCUGUUCUGGUCAACCUUCAGGGAAUAGUCGUCUUCCUCUUGUCUUUAUUCAUUCCUGAAUCACCUCGUUGGUUAUACUCCCAGGGUCGACUGAGUGAGGCAGAAGAGGCUCUCUACCUCAUUGCCAAGAGGAACCGCAAGCUCAAGUGCACGUUCUCACUCACAUGUCCGGCCAACAGGAGCUGCAGGGAAACCGGAAGCUUCCUGGAUCUCUUCCGUUACCGGGUCCUCCUAGGACACACUCUGAUCCUGAUGUUCAUCUGGUUUGUGUGCAGCUUGGUGUACUAUGGCCUCACCCUGAGUGCCGGUGACCUAGGGGGCAGUAUUUAUGCCAACCUGGCCUUAUCUGGCCUCAUAGAGAUUCCAUCCUACCCUCUCUGCAUCUACCUGAUUAACCAAAGAUGGUUUGGUCGGAAGCGGACACUUGCAGCAUUUCUGUGCCUCGGAGGACUGGCCUGUCUUAUUGUGAUGUUUCUCCCCGAAAAGAAAGACACAGGUGUGUUCGCCGUGAUCAACAGCCACUCCUUGUCCUUGCUGGGGAAGCUGACGAUCAGUGCAGCCUUCAACAUUGUUUACAUCUACACCUCCGAGCUGUACCCCACUGUCAUCAGGAAUGUUGGCCUUGGAGCGUGUUCCAUGUUCUCCCGAGUGGGCGGGAUCAUUGCCCCCUUCAUACCCUCACUGGUUGAAGAACGUGCAGUGGUCUCUGCCCUUCAUCGUGUUUGGAGCCACCGGCCUGACCUCAGGCCUCCUGAGCCUGCUGUUGCCAGAGACUCUGAACAGCCCUUUGCUGGAGACGUUUUCUGACCUUCAGAUGUACUCCUAUAGGAGGUUAGGGGAGGAAGCCUUGUCUCUGCAGACCUUGGACCCUCCACAGGCCCUGGACAAGGCCAGCCCCCUGGGGAGUGAGAGCGAGGAGGAGGAAGAGUUCUAUGAUGCGGAUGAGGAGACCCAGAUGAUCAAGUGACGAGUCCCACAUUCCUGCCCAGAAGCAAAGCCUCAACAUCACGAGUGCCUCGGGGUCGGCUUAAACACCAGUGAGAUCCUCAGCCCACUGACACCUUCCAGACACAGAGGAGGCGGGAGGAGAGAUUCUAAAAGCGAGAACCUUGGCACACCGAGAGGAUCAUUGCUAACUGUUCAGAAUUGAGGCUGAGCUCGCUCAGCACCAUGCCUCUCGUCACACAGCUCCAGUUUACUGUCUAGGUGGCUGACUCUAUCCCAUGAUGCUUCCCAUUCUUGGGGCUAAGAGCAAAUGCGUACACUGCUCACAGAUUUACUAGGAUUAGCCAGAACUCCCCACAAGAUGUCAGCCUCCUAGUAAAUUUGGUGUCUGUCCCUGUCACUUGCUGCUCUCCACCAGGAAUCUUCUGGCACAGGGUGAUGUGUCCAGAGCCCCCAGCUUUCCAUCAGCUGGGCAAAUGAGUCUUCAGCUGCUUCCCACCCAUUGAUUGACAGCACAGUUUGUGCCUUUAGUCUGAGAUCAUUCGCUAGUGAAAGCCAGAAUCAACAGAGCAGUUUACUGCCACCAGAGGACUGGCUGUGACUUGGGAGCUCCCUUUGACACUUGUGUUGUGCAAUGUUUCCAGUUCCCAUUUGGAAACACUUGGGAAAUUUUCCUUUGUGAGAUUCUAGGGUCAGCAAUAACUUCAGAAUCAUGUGCAGUCCAUAAUGAAAGUCCACAAGCCGGGGGAAGUCAGCAAGCGAUGUGCUGACACUCUUUACCUGUGACUUAACCAAGAGUGUUUGCUGUCUUCAUGUGCAAUGAGGGGUCUGGACGGCACGCCAGGCCCUGAACUCUGCCCUACGGGAGCUGCUACUUGUUUACUCAAAAGGCGUGGCGACUUUUAAAGAAAAAGUUGAGUUUUCAUUAAGUGCUUCCACUGAUUUCCAAAUAAAUCCAAACCACAUUUAUUAUCUGUUUCUCACAAAACUUGAACACUCUCAGAGAGGCUUAUAAGCAGAGAGUCCACGUGUGGGCAGUUGAUCACUUCCUCAACCCGGGAAACUGCUAUGUUUAAAAAGUCUGUUUAUGCUCAUCUUCUGGGAAGAGAAAGCAAGGAAGGAAAGGUGAAGGAAAGGUGCCCUGGGGAUGCUUCUGGAAAUCAUGGAGACCUGCCUCCUGUGACCUCCUCCAUGUUGUCUUGGCUUCCGCUAGCACUAUACCCACCUGCUCCUUCGUUGUUUUCCUUUAUGCCCUUGCUGAUGAGGGAGCCAUUUCUACCAGCGUAGAGAACAUUGGCCAUGAUGCAGUGGAGGCACUGAUAGGUGACACUGUGUCUAGCUGUCAGGGAGGUUAUGGAAGCAUCAUGUCUGCAAAUCUCAGCAAAGUGUGCCCCACUCCCCCAAACUGUGGAGCCCCGCUUCUCUCUUCUCUAGAAAAUGGAGGUCAGCUCUCCUUUCUUCUUCUGGAAGAAAAGAGCUUCCAGAAACACUUGGUUCUUGUCAAAUAAAGUGUUUAAAAUAAAGCAG